rnacentral:rRNA from 1 species
AAGCUAACUGAUACUAAUUGCCCGUACGGCUUGUCCCUAUAACCUUGACGGUUAUG